GGGUACGGUCACACCAGCACUAAUGCAUCGGAUCCCCUCAGAACUCAGCAGAUAAGCGUGCUUGGGCGAGAGUAGUACUACGAUGAGUGAUCUCUUGGGAAGUCCUCGUGUUGCACCCC